UACGGGGGGGGCAAGCGUUGUUCGGAAUUACUGGGCGUAAAGGGCUUGUAGGUGGCCAACUAAGUCAGACGUGAAAUCCCUCGGCUUAACCGGGGAACUGCGUCUGAGACUGGAUGGCUUGAGUGUGGGAGAGGGAUGCGGAAUUCCAGGUGUAGCGGUGAAAUGCGUAGAUAUCUGGAGGAACACCGGUGGCGAAGGCGGCAUCCUGGACCAACACUGACGCUGAGUGAGCGAAAGCCAGGGGAGCAAACGGG
rnacentral:rRNA from 1 species